UUGGCUUAAAUCAUUGUGGGUCUACACAUUGAAAGUAGAACCCACACAAAGUGGUGGAACAUACAUUGAUUAUAUCCAA
rnacentral:pre_miRNA from 1 species